rnacentral:misc_RNA from 1 species
GAUGAAGAACGUAGCGAAAUGCGAUACGUAAUGUGAAUUGCAGAAUUCAGUGAAUCAUCGAGUCUUUGAACGCACAUUGCGCCCUCUGGUAUUCCGGAGGGCAUGCCUGUCCGAGCGUCAUUGCUGCCCUCAAGCACGGCUUGUGUGUUGGGCCCCGCCCCCCGAUCCCGGGGGGCGGGCCCGAAAGGCAGCGGCGGCACCGCGUCCGGUCCUCGAGCGUAUGGGGCUUUGUUACCCGCUCUGUAGGCCCGGCCGGCGCCUGCCGAUCAACCAAACUUUUUUCCAGGUUGACCUCGGAUCAGGUAGGGAUACCCGCUGAACUUAAGCAUAUCAAUAGCGGAGGA